GUGGGGAAUCUUGCGCAAUGGGCGAAAGCCUGACGCAGCCAUGCCGCGUGAAUGAUGAAGGUCUUAGGAUUGUAAAAUUCUUUCACCGGGGACGAUAAUGACGGUACCCGGAGAAGAAGCUCCGGCUAACUUCGUGCCAGCAGCCGCGGUAAUACGAAGGGGGCUAGCGUUGCUCGGAAUUACUGGGCGUAAAGGGCGCGUAGGCGGACAGCUUAGUCAGAGGUGAAAGCCCAGGGCUCAACCUUGGAAUUGCCUUUGAUACUGGCUGUCUUGAGUUUGGGAGAGGUGAGUGGAACUCCGAGUGUAGAGGUGAAAUUCGUAGAUAUUAGGAAGAACACCAGUGGCGAAGGCGGCUCACUGGUCCGGUACUGACGCUGAGGUGCGAAAGCGUGGGGAGCAAACAGGAUUAGAUACCCCAGUAGUCC
rnacentral:rRNA from 1 species